UACGUAGGGUGCAAGCGUUGUCCGGAAUUAUUGGGCGUAAAGAGCUCGUAGGCGGUCUGUUGCGUCCGCUGUGAAAACUCGGGGCUUAACCCCGAGCCUGCAGUGGAUACGGGCAGACUAGAGGUAGGUAGGGGAGAAUGGAAUUCCCGGUGUAGCGGUGAAAUGCGCAGAUAUCGGGAGGAACACCGGCGGCGAAGGCGGUUCUCUGGGCCUUACCUGACGCUGAGGAGCGAAAGCGUGGGGAGCGAACAGG
rnacentral:rRNA from 1 species